AGCGAACGUUAGCGGCGGGCUUAACACAUGCAAGUCGAGCGAGAAAGGGGCUUCGGCCCUGAGUACAGCGGCGGACGGGUGAAUAACACGUAGGUAACCUUCCUUCCAGCGGGGGACAACGGUCCGAAAGGACCGCUAAUACCGCAUACGUUCCCUGGGACCCUGGUCCCGGGGAGGAAAGCUCCGCAAAGGGGCACUGGAUGAGGGGCCUGCGUAGCAUCAGCUAGUUGGUGGGGUAAUGGCCUACCGAGGCUAAGACGCUUAGCUGGUCUGAGAGGAUGAUCAGCCACACUGGGACUGAGACACGGCCCAGACUCCUACGGGAGGCAGCAGUGGGGAAUAUUGGACAAUGGGCGCAAGCCUGAUCCAGCCACGCCGCGUGAGUGAUGAAGGCCU
rnacentral:rRNA from 1 species